UGAUAAUGAUACCAAUCUUUUACUUUUGUUUUUUUUGCCGCUACUCCUCAUCCCAUCCUGAUCAUCAGAUGUGCAUGAUGCUUUUAAAGGAAAAAAUGUCUAUGUCCUUCUGUCAAAAGUAAAUGGAUAUAAGUUGUUUUACUGGGACAUUAAUAAAAUCGGUCCUGACAUGGAACUGGAGAGUCAGUCUAUUAAUGCAUUUAUGGCUGUCAUUGUGAAGGAUUACAACAGCAAGAACAAGGGACAGGCUGCGUUCAUAGAUUCAUUUGAAAUGACAGCAAUGUGGGAGGGAAAAAGUCCUAGAUUAAAGAAGAUGUAAUUAUGAAAUAAUUCUUGGAAUCAACAAUCAACACCACCACUGGACUUUAGUGGUGAUUUACCCACAAGAUAAAAAGUCUUUGUUCUUGAAUCCACUGGGGGAAUCAAAACAAGAGAUCCAGAAAUGUUUGCAAAUCACAAGGGCGUUUAUGAGGAAGAAGGGGUGCAAUGUCUCUCGUUGGACAUGUGACACAGUGAAGCAUCCAAAACAACAGGACAGUACAUCAUGUGGUGUAUUUUCACUGAAGUUUGCAGAAAAACUCCUUGCAAAAGAGGUUGUGGAUUUUCCUGUUUCCACUGCGGCGGUCUACAGCAUGAGGUUGGACAUUGCUGUGAGACUUAUCCUUGACAGUGAUGACUUAAAAGACUUGUGCCACUUUUGUGGAGAGAAGGAAAGUGACACGGACGUGAACUGGAUCCAGUGUGACAUGUGCCUGAGGUGGUUCCAUCAGGCGUGUGUGGGAAGCCCACCAAUUCACAAAACUUAUGAGUGCAUUGCCUGUUUGCCCUAAGUUCCAGAGUUUGCUGUGAUUGAGAGCAUUGUGUGUUUGCCUUAGGUUCCUGAGUUUGCUGUGGUGUGCUAGUAGUUUAUGUAUGUUGAACAAUGUUUAAUAAAUUACAUUUUGAAAACUA